AAUACCGCAUAUGCCAUAACCAUCACAUGAUAGUAGUGGGAAAGGAGUAAUCCGCUAACAGAUGGGCUCGCGUCUGAUUAGAUAGUUGGUGGGGUAACGGCCUACCAAGUCUACGAUCAGUAGCCGGACUGAGAGGUUGAACGGCCACAUUGGGACUGAGAUACGGCCCAGACUCCUACGGGAGGCAGCAGUCGGGAAUAUUGCGCAAUGGAGGAAACUCUGACGCAGUGACGCCGCGUAUAGGAAGAAGGUCUUCGGAUUGUAAACUAUUGUCGUUAGGGAAGAAAAAGGACAGUACCUAAGGAGGAAGCUCCGGCUAACUACGUGCCAGCAGCCGCGGUAAUACGUAGGGAGCAAGCGUUAACCGGAUUUAUUGGGUGUAAGGGGUGCGUAGACGGGAUAAUAAGUUAGUUGUGAAAUCCCUCGGCUCAACUGAGGAACUGCAACUAAAACUGUUAUUCUUGAGUGUUGGAGAGGAAAGCGGAAUUCCUAGUGUAGCGGUGAAAUGCGUAGAUAUUAGGAGGAACACCAGUGGCGAAGGCGGCUUUCUGGACAAUAACUGACGUUGAGGCACGAAAGUGUGGGGAGCAAACAGGAUUAGAUACCCUGGUAGUCCACACCGUAAACGAUGGAUACUAGGUGUAGGUUAUGUCAUGUAAUCUGUGCCGUCGC
rnacentral:rRNA from 1 species